rnacentral:rRNA from 1 species
AUUGAACGCUGGCGGCAUGCCUUACACAUGCAAGUCGAACGGUAACAGGUCUUCGGAUGCUGACGAGUGGCGAACGGGUGAGUAAUACAUCGGAACGUGCCUAGUAGUGGGGGGUAACUACUCGAAAGAGUGGCUAAUACCGCAUGAGAUCUACGGAUGAAAGCAGGGGAUCGCAAGACCUUGUGCUACUAGAGCGGCCGAUGGCAGAUUAGGUAGUUGGGGGGAUAAAAGCUUACCAAGCCGACGAUUUGUAGGUGGUCUGAGAGGACGAUCAGCCACACUGGGACUGAGACACGGCCCAGACUCCUACGGGAGGCAGCAGUGGGGAAUUUUGGACAAUGGGCGAAAGCCUGAUCCAGCAAUGCCGCGUGCAGGAUGAAGGCCUUCGGGUUGUAAACUGCUUUUGUACGGAACGAAAAGCCCUGGGUUAAUACCCUGGGGUCAUGACGGUACCGUAAGAAUAAGCACCGGCUAACUACGUGCCAGCAGCCGCAGUAA